rnacentral:lncRNA from 1 species
GCUCUACUGCUUCCCAACCCCUUUAACUGAUCUGCCUCCCUCUGUCCUUUUCUUCUCCUUGAGACCCCACCCUUGGCCCCUUCCCUUCUCCUCACCCAGACCUAGGGACCCUUCAGCGGGAGGGACAGGCCUCUUUCUCUUUCACUUUCAUUUGCUGGUGUGAGCCAUGGGUGUGUAUUUGUAUGUGGGGAGUAAGAAUUUGAGGUUCCGGU